rnacentral:rRNA from 1 species
GACGAACGCUGGCGGCGUGCUUAACACAUGCAAGUCGAACGGAAAGGCCCCUUUGGGGGUACUCGAGUGGCGAACGGGUGAGUAACACGUGAGUAACCUGCCCUUGACUUCGGGAUAACUUCAGGAAACUGGGGCUAAUACCGGAUAGGAAUCCUUGCUGCAUGGUGGGGGUUGGAAAGCUUCGGCGGUUUUGGAUGGACUCGCGGCUUAUCAGCUUGUUGGUGGGGUAGUGGCUUACCAAGGCUUUGACGGGUAGCCGGCCUGAGAGGGCGACCGGCCACAUUGGGACUGAGAUACGGCCCAGACUCCUACGGGAGGCAGCAGUGGGGAAUAUUGCACAAUGGGCGGGAGCCCGAUGCAGCAACGCCGCGUGCGGGAUGACGGGCUUCGGGUUGUAAACCGCUUUCAGCAGGGGCGAAGCUUGUGGUGACGGUACCUGCAGAAGAAGCACCGGCUAACUACGUG